ensembl:lncRNA
UGUGUAAGAUCUGAGGAACGCUGCAGUGCACCGUCCCUCCUCCCGUCAUCAGCCAUAUAAAUGGCUGCUGUGGACUAAAACACAGGCGUGACGAAGGCAGCCUCCGUGUGUUGGACAUUUAAUGGGAGACGGAGGAAGACUUUAAAGGACAGAAGCUGUGCGAAGUAAGGAACUUUUUUGAUUCGGUGCCAAAACAAGACCAAGAGACGAAGAUUCCUGUGAGGAUUUUUUGAGGCUCUUGACAGAGUGGAUUCAGCAUGGCAGUGAAGCUUCCAUGAGAGAGGACAGCGUACAUGGAAAGAAUGAAGAAGGUCAAUUAUGAAGCCAAACUUUAAAACACAGGACCAGUGUGGACAUUUGUGAUCAGAAGCUUCUUCAGAAAAGAUGAUCAGGCGACUGACAUGUUUCACACACAGGGAAUAUCAUCUGCCAUGGUCUCCAUCCUCUUUGUAAAGCUUCACAUCACAUCGCUGCAUGGAAUCUGUUCAUGUUUUUGCCGGAUUUAGUGCGGCGUUCACACGUUUCCGUAACUCCUAGAGCUGAUCAACGACAGUUUUGUUUCUAAAUGUCUCAGCCACAAAAUCCGACAGACACCCAGGCCUUGGUGCAGUCCAUGCUGCAAAGACUGAAGCUUCAGCCGGGGAGAGAGAGCCAAGCGUACCUGCACACACCUGCACUCAGCACACCUGUUCCCACAUGCAGGCCAGAUGUGGAGACAGAAGCAUCCAGUGACCAGAAAGUGAAAACAAGUCCUGUGAGAGACUCUGGUAAGAAUGGCAUCCCAGAAGAGUUCAGGAUCUCUUCUGUGCACACUGACGACGGCCCCAAAGGCGGUGAAAUCAACGGGGGUCCCAUUUCCUCCGCCGCCCAGAAAGACAACAUCGAUGGUGAGACUGGUGAGAACGCCGGGCUGUCGCAGGACGGGAUGUCUCCAACGGGAACGGGCCAGCUGCUUCCUGCCAAAUCAUUCAAGGAUGCUGAUAUCAGUUCCUUUGAGAAGACUAAUGGAGAGAGGGUGCGUUCUGGCAGCUCUGCUAUGACAAAAGACGCCUCUCAUAAUACAGAUACUGCCUUAAGCAUGGGACAGAAUCCAGAACUGGACCGGGGCUUCACUCCCAGAGUCUACCUGUGGUCCUUGAAGAGCACAGAUACUGGGACUGGUGGACAAGAGGAUAAACCUUUGCAUGUGGGUAAUAGUGGACUGGGAGCUUUGGCAACAACAACAGUAAACAGCAGCUUUAGAAAAAAACAGCGGCCACCAGAGAAAAAAACAAAAAGGUGGACAGCAAAGAUUAAGGAGAGAUGGAGAGACAGACAAGGAAGUUUUGGUAAAAAAGGAAAAGAAGAAGGAGGGAUGGCCAACCACGAGGGUGCAAAAGGAACUGAUGUAUUAACCUCAAACCAGACAUCGACAGGGGAAAAUCCAUUCAACAGCUCAAAAAAUGACCAAGAAGCAAUGCUCUCUUCUCCGGGCAGCAAAGGUCCGAGUGAGACUCCUCCUGCACACACGGAGGACAGCACUGUUGAUGGACAUUUCAGAUCUAUCGGUGACUUUGAGUUUGGUCUUGGGUCGUUCAGCCUGCUGGACGAAAUCACAAAGGGUCAAGAGUGGGCCAAGUUCUUAAACCCCAACGUGUUCGCCGCUCCAGCGAAUCAGACUCCAUCAGAGGAGAUGCAGGUUCAACUCAAAAACCAGCCAGACCCUCACACCCAGUCAGGGGUUUUUAACCAAGCGAAUGUUGGGAACAACCAGUGGAGCUUCAGCGGUGUGGAGCCAUCCAACGUUUUCAGCGGCGCUCAAAUGCCUGUCAGCAUGGACGUUACGGAAGGAAAACAAACAGAUGUGAGGAUGCACGCAGAUGUGGAUCAGUCAGAACCAAUGGAGGACGGUCAGAACCUGUCGGACACGCAGCCCAGUGAACGUGAACGGAUGCAAUCUCAAUCACCAGCCGAGUCGCAGCCUUCAGAGAAUCUGCGCAGCCCAGUGACGAGGAAUCGGAUGCAGCUAACCAGAAAGAGGCAUCAUCAGUCAGCUGAGAGGCUGCAGCCUGAGAAGAUGAGCGAAGGAGAGGAGGCAGAUCAAGACGCAGGCGAAGACAUGGAGCAAAAAGAAGGAGCACGACCUGAGAGCCACAUGCCAAACUCUCAUCCCAUCAAUCCGUCUCCAUCUACUGUCAAUCCCACCUUUCUUCCACCCCGGGGCGUCCUCAAACACUCCAUAUCCCGGGAUUCACAGUCCUCAAUGGAAACUCUCUCAAAAAGGAGGCGAGUUGAGGAGAACCGGCACGUUCAUUUCUCAGAGGAGGUGGUCUUCAUACAGUCUGCGGAGCCGGAUCUGGACGUCACAGUCUCAGAGGAGGACUCAGAAGAAGAGGAGGACACUGUUUCGGAGCAGGAGGUAGAGGUGGAGCGUGUGGCGGUGGAGGAGGUGGCGCCAGCCCGUCGUCCUGCUCUUCCUAACUGGAUAUUGGCUCUGAAGAGGAGGAAUACGGGGAGAAAGCCCAGAUAGUGACUGUGACAAACGUGAGCAGCCAGUCUCACUAAUGUACAACAAAAGAAAAAGACUCUUUUUUUAAGUAAAAUAUAUUUUUUAAUGUUCAUAAUGUUGUAUAUACCAAAAGGACAGCAACUAUUUGGGACUUUAAAGUGAGAUAAAUACAAUUACUAUGGAUUAGGACAGGACAAAAACACCAACAACAACCUUUUCCCUCCUCCUCCCUACUGUCUGUUAUCUCUGUGGCUCUGUGCUGCAGUAAGUACACGCCGAGAAAACCCUUGUUGUCCAUCUUUCACAGUACUUUCAUCAGAGGUAAUGAGUGUCUUCCUCCUCCAGUUUCACACAGGACAGCGGCAGACGACGAUCUGCCCUGCUGUCUGUGCCUCUGACUCCCUCCAUAUCCUGUCUCUUGGUAAUGGCUCCCUGUCCAACCAUAGUGCCGAUUAACCCCAGAAGAGCAGCAGCAUGCGAGCUCGAGCUGAAGGAGCAGCUGAUGACAUUCGGCAUUUUCUUCUUCUGGUGGAGUUCGAUUCAGGCGUUUGCAUGAAGGGGACAAUCACUGUGAGAAUCAUCAUUUAACGCAACUUUUACAGCAAUGCAGCUACAACAAUGUUAACCAGCUCCUGCUUUUUUUUUUUGUUUCUUUGCCAUCACUGCAGUUUCCAGGUGUUGCGGGUGGAGAAACGUGGAAGACUGUACCAUGUUAUCGCACAUAUUAAAGGACUAGUCUUAAUGUUUUUGUAAAUAAGAUCUUUUUUUAAACUUACAUUGGUAACUUUGAAUUGAUUGUGAAUAUAUAAAUAUAUAUAUAUAUUGCAGCACUUCUUGACUCGACUUGAUCUGUUACCAAACGCCACAACAUAAAAGUUGAUUCACACUGAGUGCAGUUGACUUCAGAGUAAACAGAGAAAGAACAUGUAUUUUUCUGUCAUCCUCAUUUUACUUAUUCAACAACACAGAAGCCGUAGCUGUGUUGUUAUCCUGGUCAUAGUAAUAAAGGAAGAUUUUAUCACAACGUAUCGGUUUUGCACAGACCGUGCAUGAACACACACACACACCUAUCGGUUACAUUGAUCAAAGUACUUCCUUCUCAUGGCGAGAUGAGUUGCGGCUUCAUUUCAAAGAGUGACAAAAGUCCGAUUUUGAGACUGACAGAGUGCUCUGUAACUCUGUAUUAUAUUUCUGUCAUUCCCAUUAUGUGCAUUACUGUAUUGAUUUGGGUUAUUAAAUUAGUACGUUGAAACUUUGUGGCACUCUGCUGUCAGCUCCUCUGCACCCACUUUUCA